UCUUUUGAAAAAAUGAACAUCCCCCAUCGGCUUCCUCCUCCCAUGCCGUCCUCCCUUGCUCUCCCUGCCGCUUCCUCCUCCCCCUCCCUCCCCUGCUAUGAUGGCUCGCGGCCCGAGCCUCGCCGUGCCGCAACUGCCCGCGCACCGAUGCCUCUCGCUGGAUCUGGCAAGCUCGUCGGGGAAAGGGAGAAGGAGCCUGGGGAAACGGCGGCGGCGGCGGCGGCCGAAAGCAGGUGCGGUGGCAUGAGGUUGGAAAUCGAUGGGAUGCCACUAAUCUGGUCGCAGCGCAACACCCCAUUUGCGAGAUCAGAGCUUGAGGUUGACGGCGAGGUGGUUGAUCCCGGCUGAGGAAAUUGGGCGGUCCGGACAGAUGUGCAGAGCUUCAAAGGGUUUAGGUGAUAUGACCUGCUGGGAAAAAGAUGAAAUUUGUCACAAGCAAAUACCUAAGGUAAACUGUGAUGAUUUCUUUCUAUAGGAUGCAAAUUAGGGAGGUUCUGUUCAGGGAUACAAUUUUUUUUUUAACUACCGAUCCAGGCAAAACUAAUAUUGUUUGCCACCCUCUAUGGACAGGUAUUAAGUUGUGGUGCAGUCAGAUUUGUAGCUAAUCUGGGGAUGAGCGACAUUUUUCUGAAUCAGAUUCAUUCAUUGCAAUAUAAGCUUUAAAGGGCAAUAUAAGCAAUUUCGUGCUAGCUGAUGAUUAGAGGAUAGUAGCAAUGUAGUUUAAUUUCAGAAAGAAAAGGAGUGAUGCAUAGGGAGGAAAACCUUUUGUUCAAAACAAAAUUAUAUCAUUAGAUUUCUCAAGACCUUGCUGUUUUGUGUUUUGCUAUUCAUUGGCAUUUUAGCUUAAGGCCUAAUUUUUAUAACCCAACUAUGACCGACUUUGCAAUUUUGCAUUAGUUUUAUUGUUGCAACUAUAUUGGAUUUGGGUAAGUAAUCGCCAUUAUGUUACACUUUUGCUUGGAUUGGUUCUCAUGACCGGUGGCAAAGCAGGGUGAAGAUGCGGCAAUUAGGAGACCAACAGGGGCGAGACUGGUGGUGGGCAUCGUAUAUUAUUGGACAUGCACUUUAUAUACCACAUAUAUAUAGUUGUACACAGCAGGUUCUUUAUGAGUAUAGAUAAUGCAAUGAAUUGUCAGUCUAUAUAUGGCUAUAUCAAUUUGCUGAACUUUGCUGGAGAAGCUAUUUGCUGUGAUGUUUGAAACAUAGCUGAUCACCCAAAAAGUUGUCUUGCAAGCAUAAACUGGGCUGUUUAUGUAUGAAUAGUAUAUGCUUUGAAACUAUUUUGGUCAUUUUAUUUAUACUGCAAUAUAAUGUUAUUUGUAUUAGCGAUACAGUGUUAUGAAUUUAUGAUUGUUAUCAAUGAUAAUCUUUAAAAGAUAA